rfam:Rattus norvegicus chromosome 8, whole genome shotgun sequence.
GGGGAUUUGGCUCAGUGGUAGAGUGCUUGCCUAGGAAGCGCAAGGCCCUGGGUUCGGUCCCCAGCCCCG